GUUUUCUCUGUCCAGAGACAACCCGAGCAGUUGGCUGGUUCACCUUCUACAAUGAGAAACGGCCACUCAUCAACACACAGAGUCUUGUCAUCCCCCUCCGGUUGAGCAAACUGCAAAGACAUAGCACAAAGACGCUGCCCUCCAGAGUGGCUGGCACAGCAGCUUCUGGAACAGGUCGAGGAGGAGGUAAGCCCUCCAGAGUAGCUGGUACAGCAGCUUCUGGAACAGGUCGAGGGGGAGGUACCAGCUUCGAAGGUUUGGCAAUCCUUGCUGGAGUUUGAAGUGCCUGGAAAAUAAUUGUAAAUCAUUGGCAAAACAAUACCUACACAGAGAAUGUUGGACUAUCUCUUGUGUUAAAGGCGAAAUCAGAAAAUAGUUGUUCCUGUGUUUCAACCAAAAAACAAGUACAUAUUUCACUGAGAAAUUACCAACCUCAAGGCGGGCCUUCUUUCCUUUGGAGACCACAGCCGUGGUUCCAUGUGCCACCUUCCGUUUCUAUCAUAAUGGAAGAG
rnacentral:lncRNA from 1 species